AUUGGGGGAAGGGUGACAUCCGCUAUUGCUUGCAAUGGCAAUUCUAGUUAUUAUUAUUCUUCCAACUAUUUUGUCCGCCACUUUUCUCGGAGCCAAUGGAACCAAUCUUAAUGAUAGUUAUGUAUAAUAGGGAACACAAAAUUUCGGGUUGCAGUAGGGUCUAAGACCAUAAAAAAUGGCUGCCGUUUCCAUGGAAACGGAACAAUUGUGAAAAAUUCCACUUUUUGGUUUUUGUGAAUAAUUUGGAGAUGCUUAAACUCAGAAUCAUUAUAUUUUGAUACAAUGGAGGUGCCACCCAUAUACUGGUUUUGGAUGAUUUUGGCAAUCAUUGGAACUACUAUGUUGCCAUGGAAACUACACCAAAAAUUUCAAAAAUAUGAAAAUGCUCCAAAUUUUUUGAAACUUUAGCAUAACGAUGAGCAACUUUGGUAGAUGUGGAAUUUGGCGUUGGAAUUUCCAAAAUGUCUGCCGUUUCCAUGGAAACAAUGCAAAAAGGUCAAAUGCUCCAAAAACACUCCGGGUUUGGUGAAUAACUUUGGUAUGCUUGAACUUAAAAUCAUCAAAUUUUAAUGGAAUAUAGUUGUCCACUAUAUCCAGGUUUUGAAUGAUUUUGACAAUCAUUGGAACUACUAUGUUACCAUGGAUACAGGAUCAAAUAUUUCAAAAAUUUCAAAAUGCUCCAAAAUUAAUGAAACUUAAUAUGAUUGUUGACUGUCAAGACUGCAUCAGACUUUUGAAGUUGGAAUUUCCAAAAUGGCCACCGUUGCCAUGGAAACUGCAAAAAUGUCAAAUAUUUUCGAAAUGCUCCAAACUUAAUGAAACUUAAUAUUAUUGUUAGCUGGCAUGUAUAGAUGAGAUUUUUGACUUUGGAAUUUUCAAAAUGGCUGCCGUUGCCAUGGAAACAGCAGAAAUAUGAAACUUUUUACAAUGGUCUAAAUGUACUGAAAAUUUAUAGAAAGAUAUAUCGCAAUUCAUAGAUCUGCAUUCACUGUUAAAUUGUUUUCAAAUGGCUGCCGCUUAGUGGCAAAGGGGAAGGGUGACAUCCGCUAUUGCUUGCAAUGGCAAUUCUAGUUCUUU
rnacentral:lncRNA from 1 species